rnacentral:rRNA from 1 species
CCUACGGGGGGCAGCAGUGAGGAAUAUUGGUCAAUGGGCGCGAGCCUGAACCAGCCAAGCCGCGUGAAGGAUGACGGCUCUACGAGUUGUAAACUGCUUUUGUAACGGGAUAAAGUGACGUACGUGUGCCUUUUUGUAAGUACGUUACGAAUAAGGAUCGGCUAACUCCGUGCCAGCAGCCGCGGUAAUACGGAGGAUCCGAGCGUUAUCCGGAUUUAUUGGGUUUAAAGGGUGCGUAGAUGGGUUGUUAAGUCAGUUGUGAAAUAGCGAGGCUCAACAGUGAGAUUGCAACUGAUACUGUAGGACUAGAGAACAGUUGAGGUAGGCGGAAUGUGUGGUGUAGCGGUGAAAUGCUUAGAUAUUACGAAGAACACCGAUUGCGAAGGCAGCUUACUAAGCUGCAUCUGACAUUGAUGCACGAAAGUGUGGGGAUCAAACAGGAUUAGAUACCCUUGUAGUC